GAUGUCCCAGCAACAAAUGCAUGUGUCUGUCAGACUAACUUUUAACUUUCCUCACAGCGGAAUGAAGGAGAGGGGUAAUCUACGGAUUUAUUCUCCACCAGACAGCAACAGCGAUUCUCUCCGAAUGGGUUGCACGCACCUUCUUAAAGCAACAACGGGGAACUAGUCUUGAGGCAUGUCUUUACCAAUGUUGAUUCAACACAGAAGCCCAGAUUGUAUUGAUGCAGUACCUGAACUUGAGUAAAAUGCCCACAGGCAUUCACAGGUAACUAACUGUAAAGACAAGCUGUUAAGGUCUGGGAAUCAACUGUACAUCAACUCAUAGGAAGAUCAAGCAGAUGCUGAGGAAAUCCCAAGAGAACUCACCCUCCCCAAUCUUGGCAAUUGAGCUGUCCAUGACAAUAAAGAAGGAGAGAACGUUACAUUUCAACUAAGAAGAGAGGCUCCAUUGUGUGGAAUUACCACCGUCCUGAAUGGAGUGAAUUCAGAACCGAUGUGGCAGCUCAAGACUGGGACCUCAGCAGCAGAUGGCAGUGAAGAGUCAACCACAACACUGGGGGUCUGGACCUAUCAUUGGACAGUUAAUCCAGAGACACAGGUAAUGUUCUGGGGGUGCAGAUUUAAAUCCUGCCAAGGCUGAUGAUGGAAUUUGAAUUCAAUAAUAAAUAAUCUGGAUUUAAGAGUCUAAUGAAGACUUUGAAUCCAUUGCUGAUUGUUGGGAAAAUACCCAAUUGAUUCAGUAAUGGCCUUUAGGGAAGGCAAUCUGCCAUCCUUACCUGGUCUGACCUACAUGUGACUCCAGACCCACAGCAACAUGGGUGACUCUUAACUGCCCUCUGGGUAAUUAGGGAUGGGUAAUAAAUGCUGCUGUGCCACUGAUGCCCUCAUCCUGUGAAUGAAUAAAUGUCAGACCAGGGAAGGACAGUAGGAUUCCUUCCCCAAAGGAUAUUAGGGAACCACUUGGGUUUUCAUGACAAUCGUUUCAUAGUCAUCAUUAGACUUUUAACUCCAGAUUUUUGUUUAGUUCAAUAUCUGUCCUCUGUUCUGGUGGGAUUUGAACCUGGGCCCCCAGGACAUGACUUGCGUCUCUGGGUUACUAAACUAAAAGCAUUUUUCCUAACCCCGACGCUGUUAUGGAUGAAUAAUAAGGAUUUAAGCUGAUCUUUCAAAGAGGCAUCACAGGCAUGCUGGGCUGAAUGGCCUCCUUCCUUACUGUAAAUUUUCAUGCUUUUUGUAGCUGCAAUUACGUAGCGUACCAAUAAUUAUAAAACAUCGAUUUCCUGCAAAUAUAAUUACCCGCCAUGGGCUUCCACUCAGACUGUACAGAUUCUCUAUAUUCCAAACAGUUUAUGAACAGGAAAUGCUGCAAAUACACAAGAAAUCAGCUCAGAGUUGGCAGAAAGAGACAGAUUGGAAUGACUCAAGCAUUCCACCCACAACAUUAACUUGACUCGGAGAUUACACUGACUGACUGAAGGCACGGAACACUUCCACAGUUCUUUAUCUCGAUAGUUCUCACUCUAAUGCCCAGGUUCCUCAAGACUUCAUGCCCCUCCUUAUCUCUGUAACCUCUGUAACCUCAUCUCCAGUCUCACAACCAUCCAAAAGUUCUGCAGUUUUCCAACUCUGGCCUUUGCUUCAUCCUUCACUUCCUUAACUCCACAUUCCAAUCAUAUUGGUCCUGAACUCUGAACACUGGAGCUGCCUGUCUGAACACUCUCUGCCUCUCUCUCUCUCUCUUCCUUGUUAUGGGAGAAAGAUCUGCUACCCUGCCCACCUACAGCAUGACCACAUAAGAAACACAGAGUCAGGUUUGUGGAACACAGAUCAAGUCUGCCAAAGCACACAGAACACAUCCACAAUGCCCCAGUCUUGGCCAAGCAGGCUAACAAAGAAACCAGACAUGGCCAAGCUACUCCCAGACCAGAGAGUACACUUCCCAAACAGCCUGCACAGUAAAGCUCCCUGCCUGAUUAGCAUUACGAUCCCAAUACCCUAAGGGCAGGCUCACUUCCCGUUGAAACCAAUACCACAUAAACAAAGAGGCAGACCGAGAGACCCUGGAAGAUUUCGCUCGCAGGAGGAACACAAUGGACAGACCUGGGUGCCAGGAGAAGGGACAUUUGCACAUACUCGCACGGACGGGAAAUACAAUGAAGAAUCCUCUAGAAGACAUUCUAACCCACUCGCGGAGAUGGCUGGAAUCUCCUGUGUCAAUUACAAAUGAAUUGUUGCUGCCGGACAUUUUGAUUAAUUUUCAUUCAGUUUAUUCUUGUUUUAAUCGCUUCACAAUUUUCCCCAUUGUACUGCAACUGCUUUACAAUGAUCACCUCUGUGCUGUGCCCCUAUAAAGCCUGCCUGCAUCUUUCACUCCGGGAAGAGAAUCCUGGCCAUCUGUACAGGGAAUCAGUUCUGUGUCAGCCUGGUCAAUUUCUCUUCCGUGAUAUCACUUUAUUGAAUA